rnacentral:rRNA from 1 species
CCUACGGGUGGCAGCAGUAGGGAAUCUUCCACAAUGGACGAAAGUCUGAUGGAGCAACGCCGCGUGAGUGCAGAAGGGUUUCGGCUCGUACAGCUCUGUUGGUAGUGAAGAAAGAUAGAGGUAGUAACUGGCCAUUAUUUGACGGUAAUUACUUAGAAAGUCAGGGCGAACUACGUGCCCGCAGCCGAGGUAAUCCGGAGGUGGGAAGAGUUGUCCGGAUUUAUUGGGCGUAAAGCGAGUGCAGGCGGUUCAAUAAGUCUGAUGUGAAAGCCUUCGGCUCAACCGGAGAAUUGCAUCAGAAACUGUUGAACUUGAGUGCAGAAGAGGAGAGUGGAACUCCAUGUGUAGCGGUUGAAUGCUUAGAUAUAUGGAAGAACACCAGUGGCGAAGGCGGCUCUCUGGUCUGCAACUGACGCUGAGGCUCGAAAGCAUGGGUAGCGAACAGGAUUAGAUACCCCAGUAGUC